GCGGAGGCUGCUUCGGUGUACUGUAGACUGUAAGAGCACUUGACCGGAGACUCUGGAAAAGUCCAUAUCAACUUGUUCACAAUGUCAGGCUGAUCUUCUUGGAGCCAAUGGCUGGCUUCAGACAGAACACUGGCUUCCCACAACAAAGUCAAUGAAGAAGUCAGAAACUGUUGAUAUUUUGCCUGUGUACGUGCCGGCGCACCUGCUUACAGCACCUCUCUGCUCCUUCAAGUGAAGACUCACGUAGAACAGGCUAUAGUAAUCCAGAGAACAGAGUAUGGGCUUCUGAGUUACUUACUUAGUCAGACUUACUCUCAAAUAAAAGAACAGUAAACCUGGCUUUGUGCAUAUGAAGUAAACGUAUACCCACAUGGCACAAAAAGAAUGUUUCAUGUAUGUAUUUUAACUCCAAAAUUUUAAUGAAUGUUAAAAGCAUACCUUUCAUAUCUGCACAUUUUUCCUUCAAUAGUGCAUGGAACCCAUUCUUUAA